rnacentral:tRNA from 1 species
GCAGACAUAGUUUCAAACCAAACAUUAGACUGUGAUUCUAAAAAUAGAAGUUAAAACCUUCUUAUCUGCC